UGUCAGAAUGGUCGAUCAUU
rnacentral:miRNA from 1 species